rnacentral:rRNA from 1 species
UACAGAGGUCCCAAGCGUUGUUCGGAUUCACUGGGCGUAAAGGGUGCGUAGGCGGUUUGGCAAGUCUUGUGUGAAAUCUUUGGGCUCAACCCAAAGUCUGCACAAGAAACUGCCGGGCUUGAGUAUGGGAGAGGUGAGUGGAAUUUCCGGUGUAGCGGUGAAAUGCGUAGAUAUCGGAAGGAACACCUGUGGCGAAAGCGGCUCACUGGACCAUUACUGACGCUGAGGCACGAAAGCUAGGGGAGCAAACAGG